GACGAACGCUGGCGGCGUGCUUAACACAUGCAAGUCGAACGGAAAGGCCCUGCUUUUGUGGGGUGCUCGAGUGGCGAACGGGUGAGUAACACGUGAGUAACCUGCCCUUGACUUUGGGAUAACUUCAGGAAACUGGGGCUAAUACCGGAUAGGAGCUCCUGCUGCAUGGUGGGGGUUGGAAAGUUUCGGCGGUUGGGGAUGGACUCGCGGCUUAUCAGCUUGUUGGUGGGGUAGUGGCUUACCAAGGCUUUGACGGGUAGCCGGCCUGAGAGGGUGACCGGCCACAUUGGGACUGAGAUACGGCCCAGACUCCUACGGGAGGCAGCAGUGGGGAAUAUUGCACAAUGGGCGAAAGCCUGAUGCAGCAACGCCGCGUGAGGGACGACGGCCUUCGGGUUGUAAACCUCUUUUAGCAGGGAAGAAGCGAAAGUGACGGUACCUGCAGAAAAAGCGCCGGCUAACUACGUG
rnacentral:rRNA from 1 species